UUUAAAAAACUGGAAAAAUGAAAUUAAUAUUAGAUAUUUGUGUUAUUUAUACCCAACGCAACAAGUGAUUGGUGAACAAACCUGGCGAAAUCCAGCCUAGUUCAGUGGACGUAACUAAACAUGGAUACAUAACCUUCAAGCAAAGUUUCAACAUCUAAUUGGGAUUUCUCUGGAAAGUUUACAAUGUCCGAUAUUUCUACACAUCUGCCACAAAUUUAUGGAAAACAAUAUUUAUAGAAACUGAACAUACCUUGGUUAAACGUAUAUGAAAUGGAUUAUCAUCAUUGAAGAACAUCAACCAGCUGUCGGCAAUGUGCAGGUGGACUGAGGAAUUUUCCGGUGUGUCCUUUAUGGACUGUACUCCGUCUUAGCA